AAAGGAAUUCGCCAAGCGCCACGGUCUUCACUUGGUAGGAACCACCACUACUUGGUUCCUGUUGGACAUUGCUUUCUACAGCCAAAAUCUCACACAGAAGGAUAUAUUUCCGACCAUGGGACUUGUUAGCAACGCAAAGAACAUCUCUGCUUUGAGGGAAAUGUUUGAGACAUCGCGAGCUAUGUUUGUGAUUGCCUUGCUCGGUACAUUCCCUGGCUACUGGUUCACAGUAUUCUUCAUCGAGAAAAUGGGGAGGUUUAAGAUACAAUUAAUGGGGUUCUUCAUGAUGUCUGUUUUCAUGGCGAUCAUUGGAAUCAAAUAUGAUUACCUAAAGACUAAAGAACACAAAUGGACAUUUGCAGCUCUUUAUGGUUUAACUUUCUUCUUUGCCAACUUUGGUCCCAAUUCAACCACAUUCGUGCUCCCCGCGGAGCUAUUCCCUACCAGGGUGAGAUCCACUUGCCACGCCCUGAGUGCUGCGUCUGGAAAGGCAGGGGCAAUGGUUAGUGCAUUUGGGGUGCAGGAAUACACGCAAGACGGAAAUGUUCACAAAAUCAAGAAAGCCAUGUUGUUUUUGGCAUUCACAAAUAUGAUUGGAUUUUGCUGUACCUUCUUAGUGACGGAGACAAAAGGCAGGUCACUGGAGGAAAUUUCAGGGGAGGAUGAGAAGCAGAACGAGACGCAGAUGAAGAGUAAUAGGACUGACUCUGGCCGUCAAGACGAUGGAUGGGAUUGAAACCAGGACAUAUAAUAUUGGCAAGUUUAUCAAAUUCAGCAGUACUAUACAUAGAUGCAUAUAUAGGAUAAGUAUAUUGCUAAUAAGUGAGAUGUCACCUCCAGAAUAAGGGCUUCAUGAAGCAAGGAAAUUCGUAUAGUAGUUUACCUUCACCACUUCGCGUUGUAGUUGGCGGAGGAUUAAUUUUGUAUUGUCUUAUCUCCUGUCCUACUCCUUCCCC
rnacentral:misc_RNA from 1 species